UUUCCGUAGGUGAACCUGCGGAAGGAUCAUUACUGAGUGAGGGCCCCUCGGGGUCCAACCUCCCACCCGUGUUUAACGAACCUUGUUGCUUCGGCGGGCCCGCCUCACGGCCGCCGGGAGGCAUCUGCCCCUGGGCCCGCGCCCGCCGAAGCCACCUGUGAACGCUGUCUGAAGUAUGCAGUCUGAGACAAUUAUUAAAUUAAUUAAAACUUUCAACAACGGAUCUCUUGGUUCCG
rnacentral:misc_RNA from 1 species